UACGUAGGGUGCAAGCGUUGUCCGGAAUUAUUGGGCGUAAAGAGCUCGUAGGCGGUCUGUCGCGUCUGCUGUGAAAACUCGGGGCUUAACCCCGGACUUGCAGUGGGUACGGGCAGACUAGAGUGUGGUAGGGGAGACUGGAAUUCCUGGUGUAGCGGUGGAAUGCGCAGAUAUCAGGAGGAACACCGGUGGCGAAGGCGGGUCUCUGGGCCGUAACUGACGCUGAGGAGCGAAAGCGUGGGGAGCGAACAGG
rnacentral:rRNA from 1 species